rnacentral:sRNA from 1 species
CAUAGAAGAUGGCUAAUUCAAGCUCCGGAUGGUCCAUCACUAGAAGACUUUGCUAGGGUCACUAUCACAGGUUCUGUGGAGUUUGCACUGCAGUACGUGGUUUCCAGCAUGAUUGCAUUUUAUUUAACCACUAAUGUCCAUUUAUAAAGAUUUAAGAAACUGAAGAAACACAUCAAGAGUACCUUCCACUUCCAUUUCUUGGAUUUAAAAGAUUCAGGUUUGAUCAUUUUUUCUAUAUACCAAAUUACAUUUAACAAUGCCUUAUAAUC